rnacentral:rRNA from 1 species
UGGGGAAUUUUGGACAAUGGGCGAAAGCCUGAUCCAGCAAUGCCGCGUGUGUGAAGAAGGCCUUCGGGUUGUAAAGCACUUUUGUCCGGAAAGAAAUCCUUGGCUCUAAUACAGUCGGGGGAUGACGGUACCGGAAGAAUAAGCACCGGCUAACUACGUGCCAGCAGCCGCGGUAAUACGUAGGGUGCAAGCGUUAAUCGGAAUUACUGGGCGUAAAGCGUGCGCAGGCGGUUUGCUAAGACCGAUGUGAAAUCCCCGGGCUCAACCUGGGAACUGCAUUGGUGACUGGCAGGCUAGAGUAUGGCAGAGGGGGGUAGAAUUCCACGUGUAGCAGUGAAAUGCGUAGAGAUGUGGAGGAAUACCGAUGGCGAAGGCAGCCCCCCUGGGCCAAUACUGACGCUCAUGCACGAAAAGCGUGGGGGAGCAAAACAGGAUUAGAUACCCCUGGUAGUCCACGCCCUAAAACGAUGUCAACUAGUUGUUGGGGGAUUCAUUUCCUUAGUAACGUAGCUAACGCGUGAAGUUGACCGCCUGGGGAGUACGGUCGCAAGAUUAAAACUCAAAUGAAUUGACGGGGUCAUAGCUGUUUCCU